rnacentral:rRNA from 1 species
UAGGGAAUACUAGUAAUGGGCGAAAGCCUGAACUAGCAACGCCGCGUGUGCGAAGAAGGCCUUCGGGUUGUAAAGCACUUUUUGAGAGGAUGAGGAAGGACGGUACUCUCAGAAUAAGUCUCGGCUAACUACGUGCCAGCAGCCGCGGUAACACGUAGGAGGCAAACGUUAUCCGGAUUUACUGGGCGUAAAGCGCGUGUAGGUGGUUUGGUAAGUAGGGCGUGAAAGCUCCUGGCUCAACUGGGAGAGGCCGUUCUAAACUGCCGAACUAGAGGAUGGUAGGGGGAGGUGGAAUUCCGGGUGUAGCGGUGGAAUGCGCAGAUAUCCGGAGGAACACCAGUGGCGAAAGCGGCCUCCUGGACCAUUCCUGACACUCAGACGCGAAAGCUAGGGUAGCAAACGG